GCACUCGUAGCUCAGCUGGAUAGAGCGUUGGCUUGCGGAGCCAAAGGUCGUACGUUCGAAUCGUAUCGAGUGUACCA
rnacentral:tRNA from 1 species